AUUGAACGCUGGCGGCAUGCCUUACACAUGCAAGUCGAACGGUAACAGGGUGCUUGCACCGCUGACGAGUGGCGAACGGGUGAGUAAUGCGUCGGAACGUGCCGAGUAGUGGGGGAUAACGCAGCGAAAGUUGUGCUAAUACCGCAUACGCACUGAGGUAGAAAGUGGGGGCCUUCGGGCCUCACGCUAUUCGAGCGGCCGACGUCUGAUUAGCUAGUAGGUGAGGUAAAGGCUCACCUAGGCGACGAUCAGUAGCGGGUCUGAGAGGAUGAUCCGCCACACUGGGACUGAGACACGGCCCAGACUCCUACGGGAGGCAGCAGUGGGGAAUUUUGGACAAUGGGCGAAAGCCUGAUCCAGCCAUGCCGCGUGUCUGAAGAAGGCCUUCGGGUUGUAAAGGACUUUUGUCGGGGAGGAAAUCCCCAGCGUUAAUACCGCUGGGGGAUGACAGUACCUGAAGAAUAAGCACCGGCUAACUACGUGCCAGCCGCCGCCGUAACAC
rnacentral:rRNA from 1 species